UGGCAGAGCGCGUGGGUGGCCCUGCGCUGGCGUGCGUGGCGGCCGCAGUUCCGAAAGGCACUGUCGAGAAGCCGGCUUGGCAGCCUCGUUUUCUAGGGCAAAUUCACCUUAAGCACGCUGCCUUCAUGGAACUCCAAAGACAACACACACACACACACACAAAAAAA